rnacentral:misc_RNA from 1 species
AUGCAACGAGGGAUCUCCCCGGAUGUGACGCUGUAUACGAUCACGCCCAGGAAGGAGCCAUAGAGUGAAGAUGCACGAACGGAAGGGUGCACGCGAGCGGCGGCGCGGGAGUGUGAGAGGGCGUGGCACCCACGUACACGGGCUACUCGUCUCUUGUGGUGUUUGGCGGACAGCGUCCUGGAGAGGACUCGCAGCGCAUGGGGGGCGGGCGGAGAUGUACGCUGGUGGAGCUGCGACCGCAUCGUUGCUGGAAGAUGCAGGCGCCACGUGGACGAGCACGCGUUGCAGUUGCGUGGGUGAGGGGAGGAGGCAAGGUGGAAGCCAGCGGAGGGCAGGGGAGGGCUGCGCCUCUUUCUUUGCGUGCCCCUCUACCGACGAAGCCCUUCGCAGAGAGAGCGUGCCCGCUCCGCACCUACACCGCACCCGUCUUUCCAGUCAGCCGCGAGGCGCUACGUGGCGUUCCUAGUCUUUUUUGUUGCGCUCAGCGUGUGCACCUUGGUGCAUCUCCUUGCACCCGCUCAGCUGCUCGUCUGCCCCCUUCCAAUCACGCUGUGGCGUCCCCCCGCCAUCUCCUAUAUCAUGCGUGCGCCACUCUCUCCGUUGCCCUGUCUCUCUCGGUGAAUGUCUCACCUGACGCGCGCGCCGCGCGCGUGCCGCUGCCCGCCUCAGCGCCUGCGCGAACACAGCUCAUCGCCGACAAACAGCAACUCCCAGUCCUCGUGAGCCUGCUGCGCGCCAUCCCCCCUCUUCCAGACUGACGGCUCGCCGGCGUCUCACCAAAGCCCCCAUUCAGGGAGGACUCCUCUCGCUUUACUGCGCGCGAUCUCUCCUCGACCGCUCUCCCCACCUCGCUCCCCCGCGUGCUGCCGGGCAUACAUACAAG